rnacentral:rRNA from 1 species
CCAUAAACUCUAAUAGUCACAAAACAAGACUACUCGCCAGAGUACUACUAGCAAUAGCCUAAAACUCAAAGGACUUGGCGGUGCUUCAUACCCCCCUAGAGGAGCCUGUUCUAUAAACGAUAAACCCCGAUCAACCUCACCAACCCUUGCUACUCCAGUCUAUAUACCGCCAUCUUCAGCAAACCCUAAAAGGGAACGAAAGUAAGCAUAACCAUCCUACAUAAAAACGUUAGGUCAAGGUGUAACCUAUGGGUUGGGAAGAAAUGGGCUACAUUUUCUAUAUUAAGAACAUUCCUUAUACUCACACGAAAGUUUUUAUGAAACUUAAAAACCAAAGGAGGAUUUAGUAGUAAAUCAAGAGCAGAGUGCUUGAUUGAACAAGGCCA